GACGAACGCUGGCGGCGUGCUUAAUACAUGCAAGUAGAACGGAAAGGGCGUGCUUUGGUGUGGUGCUUGAGUUGCGAACGGGUGAGUAACACGUGAGUAACCUGCCUUGGACUUGGGGAUAACUUCAGGAAACGGUGGCUAAUACCGGAUAGGAGUUGCUGCUGCAUGGUAUUUGUUGGAAAGGUGCGACGGUUGGGGAUGGACAUGGGGCUUAUCAGCUUUUUGGAGGGGUAGUGGUUUACAAAGGCUUUGGCGGGGAGCCGGCCUGAGAGGGUGACCGGCCACAUUGGGCCUGAGGUACGGCCCAGACUGCUACGGGAGGCAGCAGUGGAGAAUAGUCCAAAAUGGGCGGAAGCAUGAUGCAGCAACGUCGCGUGCGGGAUGACGGCUUUCGGGUUGUAACCCGUUUUAGACUGUGACGAAGCGUGAGUGACGGUAACGGGUCAAGAAGCACCGGCUAACUACGUG
rnacentral:rRNA from 1 species